AUUGAACGCUGGCGGCAUGCUUUACACAUGCAAGUCGAACGGUAACAGGCCUUCGGGUGCUGACGAGUGGCGAACGGGUGAGUAAAGCAUCGGAACGUGCCCAGAGGUGGGGGAUAACGCAGCGAAAGCUGUGCUAAUACCGCAUGUGAUCUGAGGAUGAAAGCGGGGGACCAGGCAGCAAUGUUUGGCCUCGCGCCUUUGGAGCGGCCGAUGUCAGAUUAGGUAGUUGGUGGGGUAAAGGCCUACCAAGCCGACGAUCUGUAGCUGGUCUGAGAGGACGACCAGCCACACUGGGACUGAGACACGGCCCAGACUCCUACGGGAGGCAGCAGUGGGGAAUGUUGGACAAUGGGCGCAAGCCUGAUCCAGCAAUGCCGCGUGCGGGAAGAAGGCCUUCGGGUUGUAAACCGCUUUUGUACGGAACGAAAAGGCUCUGGCUAAUACCUGGGGCUGAUGACGGUACCGUAAGAAUAAGCACCGGCUAACUACGUG
rnacentral:rRNA from 1 species